rnacentral:misc_RNA from 1 species
AAAAUGCGAUAAGUAGUGUGAAUUGCAGAAUUCAGUGAAUCAUCGAAUCUUUGAACGCACAUUGCGCCCCUUGGUAUUCCAUGGGGCAUGCCUGUUCGAGCGUCAUCUACACCCUCAAGCUCUGCUUGGUGUUGGGCGUCUUUGUCCCGCCUCCGCGCGCGGACUCGCCCCAAAUUCAUUGGCAGCGGUCCUUGCCUCCUCUCGCGCAGCACAUUGCGCUUCUCGAGGUGUUGCGGCCCGCGUCCAGAAAGCAAUCGUUACCGUCUUUGACCUCGGAUCAGGUAGGGAUACCCGCUGAACUUAAGC